UUUGCAAGUUCCCUGCCAGCUGCCGACAAGUGUGAAGAUUAGGGGGGCUCCUGCCCCUACUCCAACUGCCCAAUGUGGAGUCCGCUGCUCACUUGUUUGCUGCUCCCAUGAUAUAAAUUGCACAGCUGAGCGGGCAGCAUAAUCGCAUGCAAUUAUGCCGCACACAAUCACAACGGGCCAACCAACGAACCAGCCAGCCAAACAACCAACCAGCCAGCCAGCUAGCAAGAAGUUUGCAAAACUCGCCGGGCAACUCGGCUCAACUCAAGUCAACUCAACUGGGCUGGAAGUGGAAGUGGCAGUGCCAACAAGCUGGCACUAACAGAGUUGCGGCAAAACACGAACUUGACUGCCGACACCCGUUCGAGUUCGAAACAGAAAUCGUUCUUUUAGCCGCGGAAUUAUGCUCUGGCUAGUGUCUGAUCUUGUGGCUGGAACAGCUAAGAUUGUGGCGGUACAUGCUGGGUUACCAAGUGUCUCAGCCCCAUAAAAGUGACUGGAAAUGAGUAGAUCAAGGUACGCCAGAAGAUAAAGAACGCUAUCCGCAACAAGCGCAUAUUUCAAUAAUGGCCAUCGAAAGCCAAGUCCUUGGAAUCGAGCACCCCUGAAGUUAUUAAAAGAUUUGUGGCGCUUAGAGGCAGAGGUCAAGGGGAACCACCCCGGAUGAAUGAAUCAGGAACUCAGGAACUCCCCCACUUUUCAAAUCCAUUGGCGAUAUUGGCCAGUCGGAUUCGGCACGCCUCUUUGGCAGCAUUUUGUUUGGGCGUGUUAAAAGUUAAAAUAAAUCAAACAGCCAUAAA